GGGCCCGCACAAGCGGUGGAGCAUGUGGUUUAAUUCGAUGCAACGCGAAGAACCUUACCAGGUCUUGACAUCUGCAGAAUUCUGAUGAAAGUCGGAAGUGCCUUCGGGAGCUGCAAGACAGGUGGUGCAUGGUUGUCGUCAGCUCGUGUCGUGAGAUGUUGGGUUAAGUCCCGCAACGAGCGCAACCCUUGCUAUUAGUUGCUAACAGGUAGAGCUGAGCACUCUAAUGGGACUGCCCGUGACAAGCGGGAGGAAGGUGGGGAUGACGUCAAAUCAUCAUGCCCUUUAUGAUCUGGGCUACACACGUGCUACAAUGGAUGGUACAAAGAGAAGCAAGACCGCGAGGUGGAGCGAAUCUCAAAAAGCCAUUCUCAGUUCGGAUUGGAGUCUGCAACUCGACUCCAUGAAGUCGGAAUCGCUAGUAAUUGCGAAUCAGCACGUCGCAGUGAAUGCGUUCCCGGGCCUU
rnacentral:rRNA from 1 species